AGUGAUGUGAGAAUGACAUUGAAAAACCACUGUGCUUAUCAUCCUUAGAGUACAGGGUUGAUGGAAAGAACAAAUGGUACUGUGAAAAGCAGACUAAAAAGUGUAUUGGAGGAACUGGUAGGCCCUGGACGCAAUGUUUAGACUUGGUAAAAUUAUACAUUAACAUUACAAGUACAUCAAAACUUACACCUUUUUAAACAUUAUUUGGAAGACUGUAUAGAUUGUCACAGUUUAAUAAUCAAUGGUAAAUAGAUGAGGAAGCUACUUAAGCUGAUUAUAUGAGAAGCUAACUUAAAUAAACAAAAAUCAAACUAUUUUGGCCUAUACUCUCAUCUCGGCGUAUUUUUCCUAAGUGGGACGGGCCGUACCAGGUGCUGCUGACUACUCCCACAGCCAUAAAAAUAGCAGAAAGGUCAUUUCAGACCAGAAGUAAAAAAAAAAAAAAGACAAAAAAAGUUCCGGGGGCUCAUUGACCUACAGGGCAAAGGCCAGGUUGCAAAGGGGGCUAAACCUAAUAGUUUGACCGUCUCAAAACUGGUGAAGAUUGUCCACAACCCUGGAGCAUCCUUAGGAGCCGAACGAACUUAAAUAUUACUGAAAUGGCGAAUAAAAAUGUUGUUUUUUAUUUUCAUUUUAUGUUUUCAGCCUGGACAAAAUAAUAACUGCUUAUUAUUUUAUUAUUCUUAUUAUUAAUGGUAGAUCAGGCU